CACUAAGUGGCUUGGCAGUGCGUACAUUGCAGAAAGCUGCUUUACUGCGCAGUAAUUUGCCAGUGGAGACAAGGCCUUAGACCAUUAGUGUCUGUAAAGCACACUGAGAACCUCCGCUGGGGGCGGGAACGACGGAUGACAGGAAAUAAUUAAAGGACAGAAGGGUCUGUGUUUUAGAAGAUCCCAGCAGACUUCUGCCUGCUGCUGUGUUUCUUUCCCAUUAUUUAACCCUUGCAAAUCCCUGUUAUUCCAAAUAGUCUCUUUCUUAUUUAAAAGGAGAGAAAUUAGUUUCACAAACCUCCCAUGCAGAAAACUUUCACUUAUACUUCACUCAGUCCUGUCAGCUUCCUGGAAACCAUGGCUGGAAGGGUGGAGAGCAGGACGGGCGUUGGGCCGGAGAGCAGGUAAGCGGCCAGAGGCCUGUGAAACCGGCUGUCAGGGCUCCAGGGCCCCAGCUUUUCUACUCAGUUCAGGUUUUGUUUUAUCUCCUUCCUCCCAGACCCUCAAUGAUGUUAAUCCCUGUUUAUUAACGACACAUCGCCCUUUUGGAGUGUUUUUCAUCUGCAAAGAUAAUCAGUGGCAGCCUCUUAGAGCUGGAUAUUUCCUGCCUUAUUUUGAAUCAGAGACUUCAUACCUGCUGCUGUAAAUUGGCUGUGACUAACAAGUGUCACUUCGAGCCUCAGUUUCUCCUGCCCACUUUCAAAGGCCACCAGCUUCUGCUGUGAUUGAUCCAGACCCUUAGUCCCCCUGAUCAUUAUUAUCUGCAUAUGGGGAAACUGAGGCAGGAAAAUUAAGUGAUUUGUACAAGUCCACAGAAAAUGGCAGUCUGAGACACGAUUAACGCAAUUAGAAUAAACGAGUCCCUUCACUAAUACUAUUUGUGAUAAGUUUUAACUGAAUGUACAACAGUUUCUCACAACAGUGAAACUUGUGACAAUAUUGAUUUGCGGUUAGAGACGAGAGCUGUGAAUCAGGACUCCUGGGUUCUGCUCUUGGCUCUGUCACUGACUUGCUGCAUGGCUUUGGCCAAGUCACUUCACCUCAUUGUGGCCAGCAUGUACCUAGCAGCGAAAAGGCGGUAACAGCACUUCACUGUCUCACAGGGAUGUUGUGAGUGUGUGUGCUUUGAGAGCCUCAGGCAAGAGAUGCCAUAUGAAGACUAAGAAUAACAUUUUUAUUGGAGCUGGUCAGAAAAUGGUUCUUUCCCCCUUAGGAAAAAUGUCAAAUUUGCAGCAAAAAAUCAGUAUUUGAAAUAUUUUAGCCAAAACCUGGAAAUUUUCAAUUGUUUGCCUCGGGGAACACAGCUUGGAAAGAGCUUAAAGGAGAAGUCUGGAAAAAUCAACUCCUCUGCUUGCCCACCAAACAGUGGCCUCAAGCAAGCAGGGGAUUGUGAGUCUGAACUCCUGGUCUCUUCUCUCAGCUUGGGGCAGAGUGGUUAGAGCAGUGAGACUGGGAUUCAGGGCUGUUGUGUUAUACACAAUCUCUACUCCUGACUGGCUGUGUAACCCUGGGCAGCUUGUAUGAUACGCUACUUUGAAAGGACAACGUUCUAUGAAUUCCUAUCGAUGUUUGAAGAGACGUUUUUCCUCCACAGCCCGUGGGUGUGUGUGUGAGAGAGAGGAAUGUAUGUACAUCAGUGUUUGUGAAGCACUUGGCAACCCUUGGCUAGGACAGGGCAGUACUAGGCCAAUAAAUAAUAACAAUAAAGGACUGAAGCUUAAGAGAUGUCUCCGUUUUAGCAGCGCACAGUGGAUUCCAGCAGACCCGUAGCUAGUGAUGUGCCACUUGGCAUUUAAUGUUCAGAGCCUACUUCACCCUGGUAUUUCAAAAUGCAGCAGUUCUCGGUUUAUAAGGUUAGUUCCUUUCCUUCCCCCAGCUCCCCCACGGAACAGGAAACUGACUCAUACUUAUCCAGAUAAUCCUCUCCUGCCAGUUUCCGGAAAAGGAGGGCUGGUUAGUUUACAGCCAAACUUAUCAACGCAGCCAGAAGCUGCUAUUAGAGACACAGGAUGUACUGGUUUGUGAGACAGUCUGGCACUCUGGCCACGGAGAGUGGAGAGGCUGCAGGGUGGGGGGAUAUUUGGUACUUGUGCCGUUAUUUUUUAUUCAUGAACUCAGCCAGGAGCCACUCCUGGAAGCAAAGCCCUGUAGAAGAAAUGCCCCUGGUGGCAGAGCAGGGCAGACCCUGCAGGAAAUGCUGUUUGAACAGUCAUUGUGAUGUUCCAGGAAGCACAUCCACAUUUCUUUCCUGAGGAGUGACUUGUUGGAAGGAUGACGAUGCUCAUCUACUCAUCAGAGAAUCUGUGCAGCCUUCUGUGUGGCAGCUAGAGCCACGUGCAGGUUACCAACAUCCCUGAAUUGUGAGCACCACAACUGGACACACUAUUCCAGCAGCAGUCACACCAGUGCCAGAUACAGAGGUAAAAUAACCUCUCUACUCCUAUUCCAGAUUCCCCUGUUUAUACAUCCAAGGAUCGCAUUAUCUCUUCUGACCACAGUAUUGUACUAGGAGCUCAUGUUCAGCUGAUUAUCCACCACGACCCCCAAAUCUCUCUCCAAGUCACGGCUUUCCAGGAGAGAGGCCCCCACUGUAUGCACCCUACACUAUUCCUGUUUUCUUUUCCUCGCUUAUAACGUAACAUGAAAAAGAUACCAGCAGUUACUUACAGUAGAACGAUUUGCUUCAUAGCCGGUUGGUGGGGUAUAUUUUACCUUCGCACACGGUUUCUUACUGCUUGUUCCAAUUUUGCAUUAGGCCUGUCUACAUCUGAAAAUUAGAUGGAUCUAACGUCAGAGGUGAAAGUAAGCCGGUACGGUCAGGUACAGCGCACCGGCAAGAGCCAGUACGCCGUGCCGGACUGCACCGGCUUCCGUGGCGGGGAUUUAAAGGGCUCUGGGCUCCCCGCUGUGGCGGGGAGCCCAGAACCCUUUAAAUGCUGCCCGCAGCUCUGGCGGCCAGCUGGGGCCGGGAUUUAAAGGGCUCGGAGCUCCCGCUGCAGCGGGGAGCCCAGAGCCCUUUGAAUCCCGCCUGCAGCUCCGGCAGCCAGAGCUGUGGUGGGGAUUUAAAGGGCCCGGAGCUCCGCGGCGGCCGGAGCCCCGGUCCCUUUAUUUUGCCCCUGAGCUCCGGGGGCUCCCAGCCACCACUGCAGCUGGGAGCCCCGGGUUGAUUUAAAGGCCCGUGGGCUCACAGCCUCAGCCGGUGCCCUAGAGCCUUUAAAUCUUGAGAGGCCCCGCCUCUUCCGGUUGAGGCACCGCCUCUUCCGGACAAGGCCACACCCCCGCAGGACUCCGGCAGUACCGGUAAGUCCUGUAAGUUACUUUCACCCAUGUCUAACGUCAUCGCUCACAUCUAUAAAAAUGUUGUGCCGUGUGACAUAGUUAAGUUGAUCUAACCCCCCACUGUAGAUGCAGCAAGGUCAAUGGAAUAAUUCUACCAUUGACCUAGAUGCCACCUCUCAGAGAGAUGGUUAAUGACACUGAUGGAAACCCCCCUUCUGUCGAUGUAGGACGCAGCUACACACUAGCACGGUAGCUGAGUCGCUGUAACCACAGUAGUGUAGCCAGACCCUCAGUUCACAUGUCACUAGUAGCACUGACAGCAUGUGACAAGGUUACAUUGUGGGUAGAGCAGAGAACUAUGAAUCAGGACUAUUGGGUUCUCUUCUUGGUGCUGCCCCUUCCUGAGUGACUUUUGGACAAGUUAUUUCACCAUGUUGUGUCUCCAGGUUCCAUCUCCCUGUACAAGGAGGAGAACCGCCUUCAGUACUUUACAGGGGUCUGCUUGUGAAAACUAAAUUUUGAAAAAGUGCUUUGAGAUCCUUAGAGAAAAGUACCAUGUUAUAAAACCAAGUCAGGAGGGCAAUACCCAAGAGAAAGUGGCUGCCUCCGGGGAAUAAUCUCUGCUGUCCACACAGACUUGCACUUCAAUUAAUGGUGUCUGUUCAAAUUCAGCCCCAGUGCUAAGCGCAAGAAAAAUAUUUCCUUGAUUUUCUGUUGUUUAUAAAGUGCAGGAGAAAGUUGUAAUACACAACAAGAUCUUUCGUUCCCCUGAGUGCUCAAGGAGGAGUGAAAUGUUUCUACAAUUUAUUUUUAAUCCCAAUAAAAAUUCACCUACACUUUUUGUAACCACGAACAUCAAAGCAGGAACAACCUGAGAGUGAAACUGACUAAAAUCACUAAAAACAAGAGUGUUGCAGGCUGCUCCUUGGGCACGCUGACAGAGACGCAAACAACCCAUAAAGAGCUUAAUACAGUUCUGACUGGACUUCAUCUGUUCCCUCUAAGGCCACGUCAACACGUACAGAGCUGCAGUGGCGCAGCUGUACCAAUGCGCUGCAGUGCGUCUGAUGAAGAUGUUCUAUGCCGAUGUGAUGCUGUGUAUAAGAACGGUGACCAUUUAUAUCACUGUUGUUACCACUGUCACAAUUUCCAUGGAUCUUAUACAGUUUGUAUCAUGUAAGGUGUCAGUGGAAAAGUUGCUUCAAAAACUUCAAAAACAAACUUCAAAGAGAAACUGCAGAGCUACAAUUCAUUUGCAAACUUAACACCAUCAAUUUGGGCUUGAAUAGAGACUG